AUUGAACGCUGGCGGCAUGCCUUACACAUGCAAGUCGAACGGUAACAGGUCUUCGGAUGCUGACGAGUGGCGAACGGGUGAGUAAUACAUCGGAACGUGCCCGAGAGUGGGGGAUAACGAGGCGAAAGCUUUGCUAAUACCGCAUACGAUCUCAGGAUGAAAGCAGGGGACCGCAAGGCCUUGCGCUCACGGAGCGGCCGAUGGCAGAUUAGGUAGUUGGUGGGAUAAAAGCUUACCAAGCCGACGAUCUGUAGCUGGUCUGAGAGGACGAUCAGCCACACUGGGACUGAGAGACGGCCCAGACUCCUGCGGGAGGCAGCAGUGGGGAAUUUUGGACAAGGGGCGCAAGCCUGAUCCAGCGAUGCCGCGUGCAGGAUGAAGGCCUUCGGGUUGUAAACUGCUUUUGUACGGAACGAAAAGCCCUGGGUUAAUACCCUGGGGUCAUGACGGUACCGUAAGUAUAAGCACCGGCUAACUACGUGCCAGCAGCCGCUGUAAUAC
rnacentral:rRNA from 1 species